CCUACGGGGGGCAGCAGUGGGGAAUAUUGGACAAUGGGGGGAACCCUGAUCCAGCCAUGCCGCGUGUGUGAAGAAGGCCCUCGGGUUGUAAAGCACUUUCAGUGAGGAAGAACGCCUGGUGGUUAAUACCCAUCAGGAAAGACAUCACUCACAGAAGAAGCACCGGCUAACUCCGUGCCAGCAGCCGCGGUAAUACGGAGGGUGCGAGCGUUAAUCGGAAUUACUGGGCGUAAAGCGCGCGUAGGUGGCUUGAUAAGCCGGUUGUGAAAGCCCCGGGCUCAACCUGGGAACGGCAUCCGGAACUGUCAAGCUAGAGUGCAGGAGAGGAAGGUAGAAUUCCCGGUGUAGCGGUGAAAUGCGUAGAGAUCGGGAGGAAUACCAGUGGCGAAGGCGGCCUUCUGGACGGACACUGACACUGAGGUGCGAAAGCGUGGGUAGCAAACAGGAUUAGAUACCCCGGUAGUC
rnacentral:rRNA from 1 species